GCCAAGGGUGUUGCCUUUUGGAUCAGAUUCAAGGCUGCGGUUUUAGAAAAGUUCUCAUCCAUAAAGCUGUCUGCAGUACCUGAAUCGAUCAAGGCUUUAGUUGUUAUCGUGGUUUUAUUGACCAAAAGAGAAACCGUUAUAAAUGGUCUGGAGAUGGACAUAUGAGGGGAAAAAACCAUAACACACGUUCUUUCGGCUUCAGAUAAACCUAC